GUGGGGAAUUUUGCGCAAUGGGCGAAAGCCUGACGCAGCGACGCCGCGUGGGUGAUGAAGGCCUUCGGGUUGUAAAGCCCUGUGGGGAGGGAAGAAUAAGGGGCGGCUAAUACCCGCACCGAUGACGGUACCUCCUUAGCAAGCACCGGCUAACUCUGUGCCAGCAGCCGCGGUAAGACAGAGGGUGCAAACGUUGUUCGGAAUUACUGGGCGUAAAGCGCGUGUAGGCGGUCUAGCAAGUCGGAUGUGAAAGCCCUUGGCUCAACUGAGGAAGUGCAUUCGAAACUGCGAGACUUGAGUCCCGGAGAGGAUGGUGGAAUUCUCGGUGUAGAGGUGAAAUUCGUAGAUAUCGAGAGGAACACCGGUGGCGAAGGCGGCCAUCUGGACGGUGACUGACGCUGAGACGCGAAAGCAUGGGGAGCAAACAGGAUUAGAAACCCUAGUAGUCC
rnacentral:rRNA from 1 species